GACAUCUGUCUGGCAGUCAUGAUGGGGACAUAGCUUCCACUGCCCUUUCCGAGUGGUUGUAUCAACGGGAAUGCUCACACUUCUUGCACCCAGGGGUUGUGAUAAGUCUGGGUGCCACAUAGAAUGGCAUGUGGUGCCUCUAGACUUCUUCAUGGAAGAUUUCUUCUUCAGAGAUCUGAGAAAAUCUUGGUCUGACAGCAGAGGGAACCUUUAAUGCCUACCUGUAGCCCCCUAACAACUGGACAACAACUGAGUGGCUGACUGCACCAUUUUGAGGCAAUGGACACAGUGGGGAAGUAGGACCAUAAGAAGAAGAGAAAGAAAAUCCAGAAGUCUUCCUGCCUCCAUAGUGACCGUUAGACAAUAUCCAGCCAUCCAGAUAAACUCCAAAACUUCUUCUUGGUUCAAUUCCCUAAUCUAUGAGAUGGAGUUCCUAGGUUUUGAUAAGAACUUCAUCAAUGAGAUGAUCCAUGUCCACAGUUGAGCACAGCACCUGGCCUGGCAUUCCAUUAGGACUUGGGCCACCCAAAUGAACCUUGGAAUAGCAGGAGGGGAAUAUAUUCACACUAUUUUAGAACAUGCUUUGAAUAGUCUCAGUAGGUUACCUGAGGAGGAAUUUAUUUUUGUCUGACAACAAGUCCGUGCCAUUAACAGUGACAAGGCUAGACCAAAACGAUACUUGAAUCAAAGUUUCCUCACUGCAAAGAUACUCCUCUAAAAUCUAGCACCACUUUCAAAAGGGUAGGAAGCAUGUGAAAAGAAUGACACAAGCCUUUGUUUUGUUCUCUUUAAAUGGACACAGAGAAGUGAAGUCAUCGAACUCGGUAUUAUGAGGACAUCAGUCUUUUUAUUUACUAGCUUUCUCCCCAAACCUGCAGCCUCUUCAUCACAACGAGGCUGCUUGAGAGAGAACAGCAGCUUUAGAGGAAUCACAGCCACUCAGAAGUGCUCGGAUCUACUUCUGUGUAUAUACCGGCUAUUUACAGUGAUGGGAAUGUUUUGUGGAUGGAUUGUGACAAAUAAGAAAAUCUAAUACAUUUACCUUGAACAUCGCCCACCUUCAGAUAAUCAGAAUCAACCCUCACGGGGAUAUGCCAAGUCCAGGAACUAUGCACACCUGUGAUUAAGCAUAGGAUUUCUCCCCUUUGCUUCACCACUUUGUUCUAAUGCUUUAUGCGGCCUACAUUUUACAGACGCAUGUCGCAAACCAGUCUUUGUUAAUUCUGAGCCUCUGUCUCUAGAGAUACCACCAAUAACUCCCUUAAGAAUCUUUAUGCGGGGCCUAUUUGCAAUGCUCAGAAGCCUGUCAUCUUCUUAAAUAACAAGAUUAUUUCUACGAAUGAGUAAAGAGGGCUGCUCUGGAAUGAUCAUCAAAAAUUUUUUUCAUUGAGAUAAAUAUUAGGCAUCAUGAAUUUAAUUCAAUAAACGUACCAUGGAUUUGGCAAAACAUAAGCCAGGAGGGAUUUAAAAGCAAAUGUUUCUUAAAGGGGGUAGGACCAAGGCUGGAAGACAGCAGAUGGCUACAGUGGGCAAAAUCUGUGUUACAGAUGAUUUGUUGCUGUGGAUUGGAAAAAAACGUUUUCCUCUCCCUAACACAAUUCUGCUGGUAAUAACUCACCGAUACGUGCUCAAUGAUCAAAGAAGAGCCCACACGCGGAGAGCCGGGGACCCGUAAAAGCGCUUUGACCCUUUGCAAAUGUGUUUUGUCACAACCUUAUCAGCCUCCUUUGACGGAGGAGGAAAUGAAGGCUGAAAGAGAUUGGUUAAUUUGACUAAGUCCUAUUUCAAGCAAGUGGCAGGGCCUAGAAUGGAAACCGUGCUUUCUGGCUGUGGAGUCUAUGCCUAACCACCUGAUUUCACCACCUGAGAUGUCUGUGUGUGGCUACCACUGAAGAUCAAAGAAAAGUUGUGCAAAACAACAAAACUUAGCCAGAGAAGGAAAGGAAAUCAUUGCUUCUUUCUAGAUGAUGGCUCAGUGGCUCAGUUCCAGCACUUUUUUUGUUUUUACUACACUAUGUUUUUAAUAGUCACACAUAUUUCACCCUCCUCAUUUAUCUCUUAACUUCAUUUGAGUUUCUACCACCUGUGUGAACUUUGAUUGUCAAAACAGUUUGUAGCAUUUUGAGUUGCAACACUAAUUUCGUAAGUUACUUGCACACAGUCCCCAUGACCACCUAUAUGAACAACGGCCUAGUAAAUUUGUCCUUUCUUCCUUUAAAGCCAUGUUUUUGGUUUAUCAGCUUUUGCAAUAUUUCAUAAACUUUACCCCGUUUUUCAAUCCUUUAAAUCUCUAUCUGAUCACACUCUCUGAAACACUGGUUUCACGUCAUUGUUCUGCUUGAAAUGUUUCAAAGACCCUCUUCCGCUCCAAGUUUCAGCUUGGCCUGAUUGACCGAGCAGCUGUAAUGUCACCACAAACUUAUCCACUUCUUACUUUGCUGAUGUUUUCUAGUCAUAACUUAGCUUGCUGUUAAUCUGAUCCCCUCGUUGUUGUACAAACACAUCAAUUUCACACACACUGCCAUGUCACGUCCCUGUUCAUUUUCUCUUCCAUUCAUAUACAAAGCAAGGCCUGUGUAUUCCUUCACGCUGCAUCAAAUACUAAUAAUCCAUCCUUCAAGUUCUAGAUGUCUUUAUCUCCCCUGGCAUCAGGAACCACAGAUGUCUCUCUGAAACUUGUAACAAUUAAUAUCAGUAUUAUGCUCAAUCUGUCUCCCAACUUUAACCUUUUCCUACCAUUUAUUAGUUCCUUUUUCUCUUUCAAAUACUCAUCCAUUCCACUGGUUAAAGUUAGAGAUCUUCCUUUAGCAUUCUUACAUCCCCUACUGUGCUUGGUUGGGGACUGCAGAUCAUGAAGAAGGUAUUCAGUAUCUGUAUGCCGACUUCUUUAACUCUUUUGGCAACCUCAUUUCCACCAUUGACCUCUCCCUGAAACUCCACACUUGGUUGUCUAACUGCAGAUGACUUCAGAAGUUGUUAUGAGAAUUUAAUGAGUAAAGUGUGUGAAAGUACCUGGUAUGAGCCUUGGUAUUUAGCAGGUGCUUGACAAACGAUGUUUGGAGGGGAAUCUCGCACAUGUUCCCCUUUUGCAGCUGAAUAGCAACUGUGGCUUUAAGAACAGAAAAGGUAUCCAAAUCUCCUAUGUCUCCAGCCCUGCCCACUCCUGUGACUUUUGACCCACUCUCCUCCUUUAGCCCCUAUUUGGGGUUUUUUGUUGGUUGGUUGGUUGAUUUGGUUUAGUUUUUCAGGUCAACAAUCUCUGAAAAAUCUUACUUUCCUCUCCUUUGGUAUUUGUGAUGAUAAAUCCCAUGAUUCUACUGCUGUGAUAUCUCUAAAAUCAUCUUUAUCCUCUUUAUUACGUCUCCCAAGAUCAAUCUUAACUUCCUCUCCUUAGACAUAUCUCAACUGGUCUUUCCAAUUUCAUUCCCUCCAAACCUUCUUGCACAAAUGUUUCCAAGUCUGUUUCUCUUUCUAGGUUCCCUGAGUGUCAAUCGGAGUGAGCCACUUGUAGUUGUGCAUCUAUACCUAAAAAAGCAGGGAGCUUUGGGCUUUAGAAUUAGUCAGGCUGGGUUUGAAUCCCCUGUCUGCACGGUGUUUGACUUGGACAAAACACUUAAAUUCUCUCUACCUCAAUUCUCUGUUCUAUAAAACAAGGUUGAUGAUAACACUCUUCCCAAGUUUUACAAGGAUUAAAUAAGAUUAUUUUAAGAAACUAGCAGAGAAUAAAUACUCACCAGCUGGUAGUCACAAAAGAACAUUGCAAGAUAGUGUGAUUCUGUGCCUUAAGUGUUAUCCCUUCAGCCUUUAUAUCUUUAUCCUUAAAUUCAUAUAGACAUAGUCUACCAAUGUCUCAAAACACAUUUCCAUUUUUCUUCUUCCAUAGGAUCUUCUCUGAUUUUUCACACCAAAAGCAUUAUCUUUUUUGCAGUAAAUUUCCAUAGUAAAAGAGAAAGGAAAAACAUGUGGGGAGAGAACAUGGGCAUGUAGUUUCUCAUUUCAUCAUUUUAAAAACCUUAAGAAAUACAUUUUAAUAAAAAACUGAGACUGAAAAAAAAUUAGCAGAAGAAAAGUAUUUAAAUCCUGGCUUGUGUGACCUUCACAUUUAUGUUCUCGCUAUUGAUUUUCAGUGUGCCUAUCAGAGUCUAUUGAAGCUAAUCUUAGUUUUUUUUUUUUUUUAAUCUUAGUUUUUGAGGUUUGGCUUGGUUUGGUUUUGAGCAAUUAUAACUACUUGUAGAGACUGACUUGUCUUAUUUUUUCUUAUAGGUUUUCCAAGGAGCAAAGAAAAAUAUUACUUACUUUUUAAAUAGAAUAAAAUUAUAAAUUAAACGUAGUUUUUUUAUAAAUAAAAUUAUAAAAUCAUUUAAAAAUUCAUUAUAACUUGUAAUUACCAUGUAGCACCAUUGGACAAUUUUGGAAAUCCAGGACACAUGAUGGAAUCUAUAUUAUACUGUUUUUUUCCCCUAUCUUGAACAUUUCAAUCUCAUCAAUUUAGGAAUUAUUUCAUUAUUACUCAUCAAUUAUUCCUAACAAUGCUAAAAAUGACUAAAAUAAUAAGAAAAAUAGAAAAAUGAUGCAGUUGCUUGGAAGGAUGAUGCAACUGCAAAAUAAACCAUCAUUAUCUCAUCAUUAUUCAGCUUCCCUGCUGUGACUAAAGUAGUGCAUCAUCAUUUGAGAAGGUAUAAAAGAAGUCUGGAAACAUUUGUAUGGUCUACUUUUAGUUUCUUUGAACACAGUUUAGAAUUUAGAAGUUCUAUUUUUCAUCUAUAGCUGCAAAGAGAAGAAAAUCAACCAAAGAAGGCUAUCAGCUUGCUAAGGGGAUUCAACAAAUAUUUAUUGAGUUAACAUCAAAACUCCCAAAGCUUUUAUUUUGUGAAGAUAAUUAGAUGUUCAAACUACAAGAUGAAGAGCUGAAGAAAAGUAUUAAAAUGACUAAGCAAAAGUACAGGAGGCCUGGUUCCUGUACUGGACAUUUAAAUUGAUUUCCUUAUCUAUAGUAAAUAUGCAGAGGUCUGUGAGCCAUGUGAUUUUUUUUUUUUCCUUAUUGAAAUUUAUCUCUUGCCUAACUCAGUUGACUUUGCCCAGCAAUACAUGCAAUUCAUUUGGCCCAGGGGAACUUGAUGAAGAGGAAAUGUGAAAAUGCCUAGCAAGAUCACCAUGGUUCUUUUAGAGUCUAUGUAAAUGAAUGAAAUUAUGAGUAUGGCUAUCACUUAAGAAAAAUGUGCUUAGCAGCAAAGUAUUGAAAAGGAAAUUGGAGUUACUGGAAGGUUGAUAAAGAUGAAUAAAUCUGAAAUCAUUUAUCUUGACCUUCAGUACUAUCAAUUUCUAAAAGCAAAACAAACAAAACAAAAAGUAUGAAACUCUGUAAAUUGAGUCUCUAUGUAGCUACUAUAUCUGCCUUGACUGGUUUCCUUAGUUGUCUCGUAAGAAAAUGACAACUAGACUAUUUAAUACUAAAAAGUGUGAAUCAUCAGCCUCAGGAGAGCCACCUUAGGAAAACAGGUGGGUCGUCCUCCCUUCCCUCCUCACUCUUUCCUUCCUCUUCUUUUCCCUAAGGCAGUUUAGGGACUAUUCAAAACAUUUUCUAUAACAUUGACCAUGUACACAAUCAAGAGAUCUAAUGGCAGAGUUGUUAGAUCAUUUAAGAGCAGUAGAGAGAAUAUUUUUAGAGAGGGGAGCAUUUCAGUAUCCAUAACACCCCUAAAAUUAUACAUUGUACAUAUACAUCUACUCCAGUUGCCCACAGGGCCAGCCUUAGUAGAAUAUACUCACUUUCUAGGUUUAAAUAGAAUUUUCUUGAUUUUCCAAUUUAAUAUAGAGUGAGUCAGUGCAGGUGAAUUUUAAUUAGAUUCAACAAAAUGAUACGAUCCAUACAUUUAAUGUUGGCUUAUUAAGAUGGUCCUCAUAAUUGAGGUGGGGAUUGUUACUGACCGUAAGAUAGUGCAUAUUCACUACGGAGAUUCAAAAAGAGCAAUUCAGUUCAUUUUCAGGUAUUUCUUAGCUAAAAAAAUUGGUAAGACUAUCGUUGUUAGAAGUAUUUUAUUUAAUGGGAUAAAAGGCAAACCUUGAGACUAAUGUCAUAGUGUCAGUACAUUUCAUUAAUCAGGUUUUCCAAAUCGCAACUGUAAUUUGGGCUACUUUUGAGGGAGUGGCAACAUUAUAUAAGGGAAGUUCUUUAUCCCAAAGAGAAAAAUCAAAUUAUAGAUUAAAAAAUUCAUUACCAAUAAUUAAUAAUGAACUCUAGCUAAACAAUAACAGGUGUUCUACUAAUCCCAAACAGAAACAGAUGGAAGCACAAAUGUUUUAUAAAUACUGGAUACACGCAGAGCAAUAAACUUGGCAGGAAUUGUUUCAUUCUCUAAUUGUCAGUCAGAGUCAGAGUCGUAUCACUUGCAUUUUCUCUAAAUUAAUGUACCCAGAUAAAAUCUUGUUUCUCAUUCCUUAUUUUUCAAAACGCAGGCCAUAUUUAAUGCUCUCUGUACUGUGUCACCAACAAAAGUAAUAUAAAUUUUCCUUCUGUGCACUUAUGAAGGUUCAUGGAAUUUGUUACAUGAAACAAUAGGCAUACCAUAUAGGUUUUUUUUUUCCCUUCUCCAACUUCUUCCUUUCCACCCCCUGAAAGACUAAAAUACAGAAUUUCCCCCAAAAUACUGAUCUACAUAUUCCUGUAUUUCUUAGAUAUUAUAGCAAUAAGCCUUCAAAAUCAUGAAUGUAGGUAGAAGAAAUAAAUUAGAAAGGCGGUUAGAAAGGUAAUAACUGCUAGUACGAAAUAUAAUCCCAUAGCACUUGGUAAUGAUUUCCAGGAGUUAGAAUAUCAGAUAGUGCUACAGAUCUAAACUCAUGCCUAUUUAGAAAAUGUUCACAUGGGAUAUUAGAAGAGUUUUCCUGUAUGAUUAAUAACAGAAUUCUCCUUAACUCAGGCAGAGAUGGUUUCACUGUUCCUUCUGAUCCUCAUUUGUUGUUGAAUUUUUGGAAAGAAAUUAUUAGCUGUGACUGUUAAACUCUUAGCAUCUCUCAUUGACUUUGAGAAGUCAAAGUCAUUGACUUUGAGAAGACUUUGAGGGAACAAUGUAUGGUUCCCUCUGUCCUGUAAUUUUCCUAGAAACUGCAUUUUAUGAUCAGUUUAGUAGCUCUAUGAAUAGUUUGGGGAGCACAAUGAAAACAUUAUUUUCCUCAAGCAAUGGCAUUUAAAAACUCGUGCUCAUUAGUAAUAUAGAUUCAUGUUGCAUUACAAGGAAAUAAUUGAUCUUUUCGAAGCAAAAUAUGUGUAGAAUAUAACUUUUUAUUUUUAUUUUAUUUAUUUAUUUAUUUAUUUUGAGAAUAUAACUUUUUAAAACCAUCACAGUUAAAUAAACUUGUCAGUAAAUCUGUUACCUAAAAUUGACUUAAUGUUGUAGAGAGAGCGAGAGUCACUAAUGUUAAGUUUCUUUCAUGUGGGGUACUCACGCAGACAGGCUGUGCUAAAUUGAACGAUUUAAAGAAUAAAGUUAGAAUAAUAGUAUUUUAUGUAUCUAUUUAUAUGCUUGGUCAACAAAUUAGCAAGGUUGUGACUCUGACCUCAAUGUAAGGACACUGAAGACGAGGUGGGGUUCAAUGAUUUGCUUUUGGUACAAUGCUAGAAAAGGAUGGGGUCUAGCAUUACACCCGUAUUUACGUCCAAAGCCCUCUUUUUUCACUAUAUUAUUAAAUUAGUUUCCUGAAUGUUUCCAUUUAAUUUUACUAUGCUUUUAUACACGUAUGUUAGCAAUCAUUUUUCCCAAAUGAGUCAUCAUUCUAACUGAGUCACCAUACUUUUCAAUGAUUUCCCUUUCAUUUCAGUUUCUAACUCAUAAGAAAGUAAACAAAAAAAGAGUAAAAGGAUUUAAAAACUGAAGAAGAGGAGGGAGUGGAAAUUCACCUGAAUAAAUUAUGAGAAUUAACUCAAUUUUCCUGAGAGCCAAAAUUCUCAUAAUCUUCAAAUUUCCUAGGAGCUAAAUGUGUUAUAUACUUGUUUUAAAUAUGAUGAUGCCAAUUUACCAAUACAUGCAUAAAUGUAGUCAUAAAGUUUGGAGAAAUUUCCAUCAAAAUAGUUUAGAGCCAAAAUAUAAUUUGCUUUAAACAAUGAGCUUCAAUUAUUCUAAUGUAAAUUAUCUCCUUCCUUAACAAUACCAUCUUCUUAGAAUUGUUCCCCCAAAUAUAACAUAGUUCUUAUCAGUCUUUAAAUCUGCAAAAGGCCAAGUAUAAGCAAUGGAGUCAUUCAUUCUUAGUUAAGAUAUUAGUAAAGAAUCCCUUGUUACACUCUAGGCAACAAUUAAAAAAGAUAGGAGAGAUGAGAGAUAAAUUGCUUUCAGUAAAAAUACUUCCCCAUUGUGUUAACUAUUAACUCCCAGGUUGACUAUUUCCAUCAAUAGUAGAUCCCUGGAGUGGCUAAUCUUGGUUCAUGUGAGAAAAAAAAAAUUUUGAAACAAAUUAAAUAUUUGAAUUCUGAUGGAUUUAAUAUGAAUAUUUUUCACUACUGAAAAAAAAAGGGAUACUUUUAUUGUCGGCGGCCUUAUAAGUUUACUCGAAAUAAAAUAAGAUGAUUCACCUCUUUGCUCCAAGAUAUUAUUAAAGAUAUUAGCAUUUUUUGUAGAUGAAGAUAUUAGCAUAUUUUUUUUAGCUUUCAGCCAACUUCAUUUGCAAUAGGCCAUGCGGUAAAAUUAAAGGCCCUAAUGCCAGUUAUUACUUCUGCUUUUUUACUGGCUUUAUUCUAGAUCUACACAUGCAUUAUGCAAUUUUUUUUAAAUGAAAAUACAGUUUAGUGCACACACACACAAAAAACCCAACUGUCUCAGAGACAAAGACUAUUAGAACAGACAAGCACAAAAAUUUUUUUUGGAAUACCUGGUCUUAAAUCCCCAUGGACAAACAUGUCAAUCAUAUAUCGACAGAAUGCAUACUGAUCUGAUGGAGUGGAAAGAAAAAGAGCAAUGAAAAAAUGUCAUCAAAACCAUUUUUUUUUCCUAAAGAGAAAUGGCUUCACAAAACAAACAAAAUAGCACAAUUCUAUUUCAGUUACUACAAUAUUUUCCGUGAAGGAAUAAUUUGCACUCAUAUGAACACACAGGGGAAAAAAGAUGUAAUAAAUGUAAAAUUCUAUUUCUUCCAUACAUAAGAAAUAACCUUAAAAAACUGCACAGACUACUUCAGGGUAAUAUCACACAGUUGUUGUUGCUGGGUUGUUUGUUUGUUUAGAUCAAAACACUUUUCAUCAAACUCAUUACAGUAGUCAUCAUAUUAGAGCACUUUUUCUUGCGAUUCCUAUAUACACUUCCAAUAAUGAACCAGAAGUUUUGAAAGAGGAAAUUAUUUCCAACUUGGAGCACUUUACCAAUUAUUCAUUGCAAGCCCUUCUGCUAAGUGUCUAAAUGGAGCUGUAGAAUAUCUUCUUGAAAAGGCAAGCAGGAAGGCUAACUCCUUUGCAAGGUGUUAGGGGUUCUGCAUGGAAAUGCUCCCCAACUAGAAGAGUAUGUGCAGGAGAACAGACUUUCAGCAUCAAACGAUGUCAUUGCUAAGCUCAUUAAUUGAGUAGUCGCCAUUGAAGAUAUCUUGUGAUCUUGACUAGCCUAUGGUCUAUGAAAAAAGUUUUAAAGAAAAGGGAUUUGAGCACUUUGGGCAAACUUAGUCAAAUGAUUUCAGUUUGUUUGUUUUUUCUUUAUUUUCCCUCUAAAUCAAAGCCAUCGCGGUGAACUUUCAAUUUUUGCAGAACAUUACAUUCUGCUGAGGUCAUUCCGACACAAAUUUCAGUGGGUGAAUUAUUCCAUAAGUUUUGCCAGGUCUUCUUUAAAACUUGCUUAUUAUGAAAUUAAUCUUGUUCAAGAUGAUUUACCUUCUAAAUAGGCAUUUCAUGAAUCUAACAAAUCCAAAGGCAGCUCUAGGACCAAGAGUUUAUUCAAUUUACAUAACAUGACACACCCUUAAGUGCUUGAAAUUAAGUAUAUCAAACAUGGGAAAUAAUAAAACUUAUUACUGUAUAAUAAACACACAUACAGUGAUUUUUGUAAACCCUAUUUCUUUAGAGUAUUAGCAGUAUUUUAGAGUAAUCCAUUUUAUUACGAAACUCUGCCAGUCUUCAAACAAAUAAAUGUAGUUAUUGCAGUAAAUGUAAACAUAUAAUCCUUUUCAUUAGUACCUAAAUAUGAGUAAGCCAAAACUCAUAAAGUUUCAAGGAUUUGCAUGUGUGUUGGUUCUUGAAUUACAGCACAUUUUCCCAUAGGUGAGGUGGGAGUUGGCGGGAGGCUGGUUCUCAGUUCAAAUCCAGGAAUCUAUUUGUUCCUGGAUAUACCCGUGGUAACAGCCAGGGUUUCUAAAACCACGACACACAAACCCUAUGGCACAGGAGAGAAUUAAGGUUAACAUAGAAAAUAUUUUCUCUUUUCUGGACAGACCUGUUUUGUCGAGCAAAAUUCUGGAAUAGGAGAUUUGGCUCUAAGAUACAGCAAAAUGAAAAAGGUUAUUUCCUUUACAUGGCAAAUUUGAGGUGGAGCAAGGGUAGACUUCCUGAAAUGUUCAAACUUCUCCCUUUGUUUCAGUACCUUAAGUGACAAUAUUCUUUUUAGAUUUGUCCUUCCUACAAUUUAGAAGUAGUUCUCAAAGGGCAAUUUAAAUAUCAAGCAGACAAGGCAUGUGUUCUAAUUCCAGGGUCUAACUCCUAGAAUAUGCAUUUUUAACAAACUCCUCAGAAGACCUAACUAGACUAUAUUUCAGAAUCAUCGAUCUAAAAAUCCAUCAGUUUUUUUUUCUUUCUUUCACAGUGAUUCCUAGUGACACAAUCGCCUUCAGAAUAUGUGCAUGUAAGAAGUUGAGAAUGCAGGGACUAUCUGGAAUUUGCAGGGUUUGGGUAAUCGCCCAAAAUGAAAUAAUGAUCUCUGCAUUGUGCAAGUGGCAAGUUGUGAUGGCAUAUUUGAACACAUAGCAUAUGGAAUAGUAUGUUGAAUUAACUAAAGUCUUCAUGCUUCAGAGUUUGUUUUUUUUUUUAACUGAAUGCUGACAGUGUAAUGAAACUCUUUAGCCUCUAUGUUAAAUUAUUACCAAAGUAAAAUGCUUGCAUUUAUUUCACCAACAUUUUCUGGCUCCAAAAGUCAUUCAUUUAAUUAAUGCAUCAAUAAUCCUCUGUGCUUCCAAUUUAAGAAAGAAAAUUUAUUUUUUAAAAGAUUGAUUGAUUUGAAAGAGAGAGAGAGAAAGAAAGAAAGGAAGCACAAGCAGGGGAAGCUGCAGAAGGAGAGGGAGAAGCAGGCUUCCCAUCAAGCAGGGAGCCUGAUGUGGGGCCACAUUCCAGGACUCCAGAAUCAUGACCAGAGCCGAAGGCAGGUGCUUACCUGACUGAGCCACCCAGGUGCCCCCAAAAUUCUUUAUUAAUUAAAAAAAGUUUAGUUUUUUAAUCUAGAAAAUUGAAUUACAAUACUUAGAUCGUUUCUGUUUUGAGUGAUACUAUGAUGUUGCAUUCUAAUGACGCCAAUAGGAAAAUGAGAGGACUUUUACAAUAUUUAAAUUAAGAAUUUUCAAAUAUUUUAAAUGAGGAUGCCUAUUUCCAUCUGUCCUGAGUGUUGACCUAAACAAUGUGCAAGAAUUCUAGGCAAGUAUAUGUCAGGCAGCCUCCAGUGUGUCUGCUUCACCUGUCUAAGGAUAAAGCAAAACCAAGCCUUUCUGAUUUGCUUCUUUAAAUGCAACUCAAACAUUAAACGGGGAAAAUUUUCCUAAAGAACUGUUCUAUUAUGCUAACUUUCAUAGUUUUGUGAUGAUAAUUCAUAUAUAAUAAUUCAUAUAAUUUCAUAGGUGGUCACCAUUUGUUAAAUUUUUUUUCCCACCAAAUGAACAUCUCCUAGGAAUAAACACAUGCUAACAAUUUCUCCCCUCCCCAAGGAGCAGUCCUGGAUGUCAUGUUCCUGCCAUGUUCCCUGUGGAGUGGCAGCUGAGAGAAAAUGCAUUCUAGGUGCAGAAUGUCAGCAGAAGGGAAAUUUUAAAAAACCUCUUAUGAGCAUGAGGCAUGUGUACUCUGGUGCUCUAUGGGAGUUUCAUAUCAGCUAUAUUCUCUCCGCCUGCCACAAAUAUUCAGAUAGUUGUUGAAAAGAAGAAGAUGAAGAAGUAGGAAGAAGAGGAGGAGGAGGAGGGAGAGGAGGAGUAGGAAAGGGAGAAAGAGGCAGUGGAGGGGAAAGAAAAGAAAGAAUGAGUAUAGCAGUGGGGAGGUUUGGUUUUCUCCUUCCCCAUAGAUUUGUCAUAGGGCAUCAGAAAAUCAGAGAUCAAUGCCUGAACAUGCCAACCUUCUUACCCUACUUUAAAUAGAUUGGUCCAUAAAAACUAGAUUAUGUGGUACGUAAGUGGAUGUAUAAGUUUAUGGUAGGCAUGUACACACCUAUGGGUCUGAUUCCCAAUGUUUUACAUGAAAAUAUAAUGUUUAUAAAUAUGUAAUAUUGAGUAACUACAUGUGAAUACAUUUUCGUGUAUACUAUAUAAUUUAAAAAUUUACAAUAUGUGUGAGUGCUAAAUGUAAAAAUCUAUUUCCAGGGAAAGACCUAUAGGCACUAUUUAUUUAGAAAGCUAUUUGAAAAGGACUCAAAUUCAUCAAGACUAACUUAAGCUAAGCAAAUAACUAAUCCCUUGCCCAAAGGAGAAUUUACUCAACUAUUUUACUACAUCAUCAAUACAAGAGUCUCAAAUUCAAAGCCACCCCCUAAAUAGAUCAUUUAAGAAAGACUGCAUCUUCGUUUAUUGUGCUUAGGUGAAAACAUAAUGUGAUCAGGUUUUUUUAAUAAGUAAAUAUUCUUAAAUCUUUGCUUAAUUUAAAAAAUAUUUCUGUCUAACCAGCAAUUAGUAGUAAGGUUUUGAUUGUUUACCUAAUGAUUUAAUUGACGGUAGCUGUUUUAUUAGGGAGGCUUACUUUAGUAAAUGCAUUUACUUAGCUGAGAAAAUCACAUUUGUGCUUUUGUUUCUUACUUUCAGUGAUAUUUGAAUGUCCUUUUAAUAGAUAAAUAGCUCUUUAUGUAGAAAUGAAAACAGAUUGAAAAUGAAAAUGGUAAUAGAAUGAUAUCUUGCAUAAUUCUGAUUACUGAUAUGAAUGAAAUACAAUAUAUGUGACCUAGAAAAUAGACAUUAUUUUAAAAUGUUCCAGAGAUGUGUCUUUAUCAAUAAAAUGUGCUCCCCCCACAAAAAAACCUAAAGAUACUAAAAAUGGACAUCAAAAGGUUGAUGCAUGUUCCAGUUACUAGAUAAGUAUUGUGAUACCCCUGUAUAUAAGUGGCAUGAAUUUUUAUAUCCUGUAUUUAUGAACAAAAAAUAAAAAUAUAUUUGGUACUUUUCA